rnacentral:rRNA from 1 species
UACAGUAGAGGUGGGCGGAAUUCGUGGUGUAGCGGUGAAAUGCUUAGAUAUCACGAAGAACUCCGAUUGCGAAGGCAGCUCACUGGACUGCAACUGACACUGAUGCUCGAAAGUGUGGGUAUCAAACAGGAUUAGAUACCCUGGUAGUCCACACAGUAAACGAUGAAUACUCGCUGUUUGCGAUAUACAGUAAGCGGCCAAGCGAAAGCAUUAAGUAUUCCACCUGGGGAGUACGCCGGCAACGGCGAAACUCAAAGGAAUUGACGGGGGCCCGCACAAGCGGAGGAACAUGUGGUUUAAUUCGAUGAUACGCGAGGAACCUUACCCGGGCUUAAAUUGCAGUGGAAUGAUGUGGAAACAUGUCAGUGAGCAAUCACCGCUGUGAAGGUGCUGCAUGGUUGUCGUCAGCUCGUGCCGUGAGGUGUCGGCUUAAGUGCCAUAACGAGCGCAACCCUUAUCUUCAGUUACUAACAGGUCAUGCUGAGGACUCUGGAGAGACUGCCGUCGUAAGAUGUGAGGAAGGUGGGGAUGACGUCAAAUCAGCACGGCCCUUACGUCCGGGGCUACACACGUGUUACAAUGGGGGGUACAGAAGGCAGCUAGCGGGUGACCGUAUGCUAAUCCCAAAAUCCUCUCUCAGUUCGGAUCGAAGUCUGCAACCCGACUUCGUGAAGCUGGAUUCGCUAGUAAUCGCGCAUCAGCCACGGCGCGGUGAAUACGUUCCCGGGCCUUGUACACACCGCCCGUCAAGCCAUGGGAGCCGGGGGUNCCUGAAGUACGUAACCGCAAGGAUCGUCCUAGGGUAAAACUGGUGACUGGGGCUAAGUCGUAACAAGGUAACC